rnacentral:tmRNA from 1 species
GGGCCUGUACCUGGUAUUGACGGGAAAGGAAAGUUGCACCGUAAGCAUGCCGGAGCAUGAGCGUUUGCCUCCGUAUAAAACAGCGCUCGAACCAUAAGUGGCAACUACAGCUACGCAAUGGCUGCCUAAUCCCAAGGAUUAGAAAGCCUUUAUGCCGCACGGUUGAGGUCCCAUACACAUCGUGCCGCGUAUCACACUCCCUGGGACUAUCCGGCGGAACGCCGUUACCACUCGGAGACACUUCAACGGCUAAGGCGCGGACUGGUCGGCCCCUGAACCUACCCCGCGCUCGAAAAAACUAAUCGGGAGCUAAGCAUGUAGAAAGCGAUGUGACACUUUGUCCGGACGCGGGUUCGACCCCCGCCAGGUCCACUA